UACAGUUUGAUCAUGGCUCAGAUUGAACGCUGGCGGCAUGCCUUACACAUGCAAGUCGAACGGCAGCACGGACUUCGGUCUGGUGGCGAGUGGCGAACGGGUGAGUAAUGUAUCGGAACGUACCUUUCAGUGGGGGAUAACGUAGCGAAAGUUACGCUAAUACCGCAUAUUCUGUGAGCAGGAAAGCAGGGGAUCGCAAGACCUUGCGCUGAUUGAGCGGCCGAUAUCAGAUUAGCUAGUUGGUGAGGUAAAGGCUCACCAAGGCGACGAUCUGUAGCGGGUCUGAGAGGAUGAUCCGCCACACUGGAACUGAGACACGGUCCAGACUCCUACGGGAGGCAGCAGUGGGGAAUUUUGGACAAUGGGGGCAACCCUGAUCCAGCCAUGCCGCGUGAGUGAAGAAGGCCUUCGGGUUGUAAAGCUCUUUCGGCCGGGAAGAAAUCGCAUGGGUUAAUACCCUGUGUGGAUGACGGUACCGGAAUAAGAAGCACCGGCUAACUACGUGCCAGCAGCCGCGGUAAUACGUAGGGUGCGAGCGUUAAUCGGAAUUACUGGGCGUAAAGCGUGCGCAGGCGGUUUAGUAAGACAGGCGUGAAAUCCCCGGGCUCAACCUGGGAACUGCGCUUGUGACUGCUAAGCUAGAGUACGGCAGAGGGGGGUGGAAUUCCACGUGUAGCAGUGAAAUGCGUAGAGAUGUGGAGGAACACCGAUGGCGAAGGCAGCCCCCUGGNNNGAUACUGACG
rnacentral:rRNA from 1 species